rnacentral:rRNA from 1 species
CCUACGUGCGGCAGCAGUGGGGAAUAUUGCUCAAUGGGGGAAACCCUGAUGCAGCGACGCCGCGUGAGUGAAGACGUAUUUAGGUACGUUAAGCUCUAUCUGUAGGGAAGAAAAUGACGGUAUCUGACUAAGAAGCCCCGGCUAACUACGGGACAGCAGCCGCGGUAAUACGUAGGGGGCAAGCGUUAUCCGGAUUUACUGGGUGUAAAGGGAGCGUAGACGGCAGCGCAAGUCUGGAGUGAAAUCCCAUGGCUUAACCAUGGAACUGCUUUGGAUACUGUGCAGCUAGAGUGCAGGAGAGGUAAGCGGAAUUCCUAGUGUAGCGGUGAAAUGCUUAGAUAUUAGGAGGAACACCAGUGGCGAAGGCUGCUUACUGGACUGUAACUGACGUUGAGGCUCGAAAGCGUGGGGAGCAAACAGGAUUAGAUACCCCUGUAGUC